AAUAGAUACCCUGGUAGUCCACGCCGUAAACGAUGAGUGCUAAGUGUUAGGGGGGUUUCCGCCCCUUAGUGCUGCAGCUAACGCAUUAAGCACUCCGCCUGGGGAGUACGGUCGCAAGACUGAAACUCAAAGGAAUUGACGGGGGCCCGCACAAGCGGUGGAGCAUGUGGUUUAAUUCGAAGCAACGCGAAGAACCUUACCAGGUCUUGACAUCCCACUGACCGCUAUGGAGACAUAGCUUUCCCUUCGGGGACAGUGGUGACAGGUGGUGCAUGGUUGUCGUCAGCUCGUGUCGUGAGAUGUUGGGUUAAGUCCCGCAACGAGCGCAACCCUUGAUCUUAGUUGCCAUCAUUUAGUUGGGCACUCUAAGGUGACUGCCGGUGACAAACCGGAGGAAGGUGGGGAUGACGUCAAAUCAUCAUGCCCCUUAUGACCUGGGCUACACACGUGCUACAAUGGACGGUACAAACGGUUGCCAACCCGCGAGGGGGAGCUAAUCCGAUAAAACCGUUCUCAGUUCGGAUUGUAGGCUGCAACUCGCCUA
rnacentral:rRNA from 1 species